AUUCUGUUUUGGGAGUGUUUUUUAUGUAUCUGUAUUAUAUUAUACAUACACAUUAAAAGUGAAUCUCUGGCCAAAACAUGCACUCAGUUUACUUCUUACUCACUAUGAGCAUCAUUUAAAUAACCUUUAUCAGAUUUGAUGGUUUUGUUACAGACUUCUCAAAAAAGUGUUUUGCUUUUCUUUCACAAAUGUGGGGAUUAAAUUGUGUUAAAAUGUACAAAACGGUGAUGUCAUGUUUUGAGACGAGGACCCAGGCACAGAGAGACUUGAUGAAUUUAAGAAUCUUAUGAUUUAAUAAAGAAAUUUGCAGACUUGCACAGAGAUGGUAAAAUUAUGAUGACUGAUAAUGGAGAUGAAGACAACAGAUGAUGACGACAGGGAGGAACAGGGGUUUAAAUGCACCAAGGAGACAAUCAGAGAGAACUUGGGACAACUGGAGACAUUUAAGGAUGCAGGGACUGACAGAGACAGGGAAGAAGUCUCAUCGUGACGUGUAAAGUUUAUCUUGCCUGGCUGGGCAGCUCUCUGGGUGCUCAGCACCCCCAAAGCUCUGAUCCUAGAAUCGCCCCUGAUUCACCUUCACUUUUAAGGUCAGUAUUCACUCAGAUCUGCCAGUGACAGUGAUGGAAGAGCAACACCUCCACCUGUUAAAUACAUUAAAUGGAAUGGCUUUAUAAUACGGUGGGCGGUUCCAUGUCACUGUGAUAGAUCUGGAUAGAUGAUGAAUAUUCAAGGUACACAAUAUUUUCCCUUCAUACAAUAAAAUAUUUCAGGUGUUAGAGGUCUUUGAAGUACACAUAGAGCAGGUGUAACUUGUCAGUUAUUAUGUCCUAAUAUUUUUUCCAGGAUUUCUCUCAAUUUUAGCAAUUCGGGUAAACGAUGCAUCAUUUGUCUGCACUCUGUAGUGAUGUCAUGUAGUGUGAUCCAGGAUUAAAUGAAACAAUUAGUUUUUAAACCAGUGUUGUUUUGUAAGUUUAGUGUUUUGUUAGUUUACACAUACUAAACCGUAGAGACAUUUGAAACCUGCUGUUCAUGAGGAUGCUAGUUAAAAUCCCGGUUCUGGUGUUUAUGUUUUCUGUAGCACAGAAAACCAACAACAGCAGCAACAAGAAUCACAGAAACACUCAGACCAGCGAUGAGUCCAACAGGUGCAACUGUGUCUCCUCCUGUCUGACCUGCAGCAGCCAAUUUGAGGUGUUCUCCCCUUGAGCCCAUGUUAAAAGGCUGGCUUCACUACACACCACAGAAAGAGAAACAGGACAAACCAGAAAACCAACAACAGCAGCAACAAGAAGCCCAGCAGGAACACUCAGACCAACAAUCAGUCCAACAGAUCCUCCUGUGUGACCUGCAGAUCCACCCGGUUCUUAAAAGAUGGAUGCUGACCAUCUGGAUCCAGCCGGUCAUCCCGGAAAAAAAGCACAUAAUUAUCUCCCAGGUCAGCUCUGUUCCUCUUCAUACCUUGCAUGAUUUUGUCUGAUGGAACUCGACAUGGUAGAACUACGUCCUGUCCAGGCUCAGCUGUGACGGUGUUCUGGGCUGAAACAGGAAACAACACAGAGCAGAGAGGUUAACGGUCAAAGUACAACUAUUCACUUCUACAUCAGCUAAUCAGAGAGAGAAGAGGGGAAAAAAAACCAAACUUCUUGUACUUUAUUUAAGAAGAAAGUUGCCAAACCUUUGAAUCUGUAAGUCAGAUCAGACUCUUGUUAUAUACAAGCAGUUUUCAGUUCUCUCUGGGUAGUUUGGCUUCCUCCAACAGUCAUGCAGUUUGUUGCACAGUAAGUAUUAAAUCAUAGAUUUUAAAGACAUUUUUCUGAAUCUGAUAAUCCGGCUCUUUGGAAAAGAGGAAGAAAUAAGCAGAUGUGGGACAUUCACUAAAAAGCAUAGAGGAUUUAUUUGUUUAUAUGGGGAAAAAGAGAAAGAAGUGGGUAUUGAGAAUGUCUCCUGUGGCUGCUGUGGAGGUGGAAGUAGAACAGAAGCCACUUGACAUUAAGGUUGGGCGAUGUGUGAAAUUUUUCCAGUCAACAAGGGCGACUUUUUAAAGGGUGGAACAACUGAUUUGCACAUUUAGAAUUUAUACGUUUUGUUUGGAGGGAAUAUUUUACCUUCUUCUCUUGUUUGUUUCAGUAUUAAUAUUAGAGUUGGAUGUCUCGAGAUCGGUCUUGGUCUCGAGACCGGUCUCGAGACCACUUUUACGUGGUCUUGGUCUCGACGGACUUUUGUCUUGGUCUCGGUCUUGGUCUCGACGGACUUUUGUCUUGGUCUUGUCUUGGUCUCGACGGACUUUUGUCUUGGUCUCGGUCUUGGUCUCGCUGUUUCGGUCUUCCGUUCUCAAAUCGACAUAGUGUUCGGGAGAUUUGGAGUCAACCAUCAACGGAGCGGGGGGGUGGCUUACUGGGCUUAAGCCUGGGUCAUUUUUUCAGAAGCAUGGGGUUUUUUGGAGUGUAAUUUGUUAGUUAGAUGCCUGGCUGACAACUGUAUAAAACAAAAACAACACACGAAGCACAGAGCGCACCGUCGUAAAUUCCCCCUAAUUUUGGUUUGAUCCGAGCUUGGACACUAGGCGACUGAGCACAGCACGCAUGUGAGCGAGGGGGGAGAAGCUGCUGCCUGCGAGUUUGCUGCAGACAGAGGAGAGCUUAAGUUCGACCAGGUACCAAAGCAAAUCAUUCGUACUGAACUAAUAAUGUAAAUAUGACGGUGUAUCACAAAAGAUUGAUAUCAAACUGAUCAGUUGGUUGCGUUACUUACUCUUCGAGUGAAUCAACAAAUGGAUCAAUAAAAAGCCGAACAACAAUGCUGAUUUUUUAGAAAGUCUUAGCUUACAUUUCAUAUUUUCAGUUGUUACCCUCCACGGCUAAACAAACUCUCUAAAUCGGUUUCAAUUGUGUACUGAUGAACACAACAAUGGACAUAAGGAGCUUCUUUCAAAGAAAAAACUCAGGUAGAUGUUAUUUUAUAUAUUAUGCUUUGUAUGUUGUUCAGUAUAUCUAUGCAAAACAAGAGGAAUUUCAAUACACAGCAUUAUAUUCACAGAUGAAACCAGAUAUUUACAUACACUUUAGGUAGAAAACAUAAAAACUAUUUUUUACUGUUAAACAUCAAUUUAGAGUAAACUUUUGUUUUAGAUAAAUAAAUGUUGAAAUAUCUUUUGAAUUAGUUAAAUGUCAGAAUAAAAAGAGGGAGCUGUC
ensembl:lncRNA